AUUGAACGCUGGCGGCAUGCCUUACACAUGCAAGUCGAACGGCAGCACGGGUGCUUGCACCUGGUGGCGAGUGGCGAACGGGUGAGUAAUACAUCGGAACAUGUCCUGUAGUGGGGGAUAGCCCGGCGAAAGCCGGAUUAAUACCGCAUACGAUCUACGGAUGACAGCGGGGGACCUUCGGGCCUCGCGCUAUAGGGUUGGCCGAUGGCUGAUUAGCUAGUUGGUGGGGUAAAGGCCUACCAAGGCGACGAUCAGUAGCUGGUCUGAGAGGACGACCGGCCACACUGGGACUGAGACACGGCCCAGGCUCCUACGGGAGGCAGCAGUGGGGAAUUUUGGACAAAGGGCGAAAGCCUGAUCCAGCAAUGCCGCGUGUGUGAAGAAGGCCUUCGGGUUGUAAAGCACUUUUGUCCGGAAAGAAAUCCUUGGCCCUAAUACGGUCGGGGGAUGACGGUACCGGAAGAAUAAGCACCGGCUAACUACGUG
rnacentral:rRNA from 1 species